rnacentral:rRNA from 1 species
UAACACAUGCAAGUCGAGCGGAUGACGGGAGCUUGCUCCUUGAUUCAGCGGCGGACGGGUGAGUAAUGCCUAGGAAUCUGCCUGGUAGUGGGGGACAACGUUUCGAAAGGAACGCUAAUACCGCAUACGUCCUACGGGAGAAAGCAGGGGACCUUCGGGCCUUGCGCUAUCAGAUGAGCCUAGGUCGGAUUAGCUAGUUGGUGGGGUAAUGGCUCACCAAGGCGACGAUCCGUAACUGGUCUGAGAGGAUGAUCAGUCACACUGGAACUGAGACACGGUCCAGACUCCUACGGGAGGCAGCAGUGGGGAAUAUUGGACAAUGGGCGAAAGCCUGAUCCAGCCAUGCCGCGUGUGUGAAGAAGGUCUUCGGAUUGUAAAGCACUUUAAGUUGGGAGGAAGGGCAGU